rnacentral:rRNA from 1 species
AACGCGAAGAACCUUACCAAGGCUUGACAUACACCGGAAACGGCCAGAGAUGGUCGCCCCCUUGUGGUCGGUGUACAGGUGGUGCAUGGCUGUCGUCAGCUCGUGUCGUGAGAUGUUGGGUUAAGUCCCGCAACGAGCGCAACCCUUGUUCUGUGUUGCCAGCAUGCCCUUCGGGGUGAUGGGGACUCACAGGAGACUGCCGGGGUCAACUCGGAGGAAGGUGGGGACGACGUCAAGUCAUCAUGCCCCUUAUGUCUUGGGCUGCACACGUGCUACAAUGGCCGGUACAAAGAGCUGCGAAACCGUGAGGUGGAGCGAAUCUCAAAAAGCCGGUCUCAGU